rnacentral:lncRNA from 1 species
AAUUCGUCUUUGCUGGCAAAAGGAAUUGUAUUUUUUAAAUAGGUGGCACACAAUGACUUUUAAGACGUGGACUCUGAGACGCGGACUUUAAGAACAUCUUCUUCUCAUUUACCUCUGCAAACAGCCAUUCUUUGGCUUCAUCCAUCUGUUAUACAACAUUAAGAAAACCCUUCAACAACAUUCAACAUCGGCAUUCUCCAUUCAACAACAUCUGCAUUCUCAUCUUUUGAACCAUCUGCAUCCUCCAUUAACAUUUGAGAGCCACCGUAACAGUUUACACUCUAGCCUUUGCUUCCAUCAAGAGUCACCUUCAUCAUCCAUUCCAUUCCUGGAGGAGGCGUACUCAAUAUAUCGGAAAAGAAAGAAACAAAAGAGAGGUCGACCAAGAGAAGAGCCUACUUUCUUACCCAUCAUCACCAUCCCCUUUGUUGUUAAGCUAAAUACUUAUCAGGAAACACACAACAAAAAAAUAUAACCAAUAUCUUCAUCUUCAUUUGAACCUUCAUCCCAGCUCAAGCAUAACACCACCAUCCUCAACCUACACUGCACAAGGCAAUAGAAAUAAAAACUAAUCACUAAGAACAAAGACCAAUUUCUAGCACCCAGCACACACUCCAAUGUUUCCAAUCCCAGUAAACAAAACAUCAAUUGAUGAAUUAACCAAUAAAGAAAAAAAAUCAUUUUCGUCCCCGACAUCGGCGGUGGUGCUGCUGGAGGCGCUGGCGUUUAAGGGAAAGGAAAGAAAACCCUCGAAUGGAGAGGGAGGAGAACAACGUUGGGGAACCCUCAAACGGAGAGGGAGGAGAACGGCGCUAGGGGCGCCGGUGAGGAAGCAUCUCCGCCGCAACUCGCGACGGCCGUCUUAGGUGGAGGCAGCGGUAGCAAGAACUCUAGGUGGAAGGUGUGUGUUCUCCUCUCACACGCGAAAAGGGGCGAGAUCUCAGUGGAGGGCGGUGGUGCACGCGACUGGCUAAGGCUGCAGUGGCGACCGGAGAGGGAGGAAAGAAAACCCUCAAACAAAGAGGGAGGAAAAAGCGCAGGCAGUGAGAGUGGUUGCUUCUGGGUGUUUCGCUCGGAGGAAGAGA